GACGAACGCUGGCGGCGUGCUUAACACAUGCAAGUCGAACGGAAAGGCCCUGCUUUUGUGGGGUGCUCGAGUGGCGAACGGGUGAGUAACACGUGAGUAACCUGCCCUUGACUUUGGGAUAACUUCAGGAAACUGGGACUAAUACCGGAUAUGAGCUCCUGCUGCAUGGUGGGGGUUGGAAAGUUUCGGCGGUUGGGGAUGGACUCGCGGCUUAUCAGCUUGUUGGUGGGGUAGUGGCUUACCAAGGCUUUGACGGGUAGCCGGCCUGAGAGGGUGACCGGCCACAUUGGGACUGAGAUACGGCCCAGACUCCUACGGGAGGCAGCAGUGGGGAAUAUUGCACAAUGGGCGGAAGCCUGAUGCAGCAACGCCGCGUGCGGGAUGACGGCCUUCGGGUUGUAAACCGCUUUCGCCUGUGACGAAGCGUGAGUGACGGUAAUGGGUAAAGAAGCACCGGCUAACUACGUG
rnacentral:rRNA from 1 species